CUUAUCCGACAGUUUCUCAUGAAUGACAUGAAUAACAUCAGGUGACCUUCAAAAGGAACAGGAAACAUUAAGUGCAGGUGUGAAGUGCUCUGCUAAGACAGUUUGUAUCAGGCUCCUAGGAGCACGACUGAAGUCCCAUAGAACAAAGAAGAAGCCCUUCAUUAAUGAGAAACAGGGAAGAGCCAGGCUACAGUUUGCAGAAAAAUAUUUAUUAUUCACAGACAAACACCCAUAAAUUAAGACAUGAGUUAAGCAAAAAAUUGUGCUGUGAUCUCUUUUCUGUGGCUGUAUAUUAAAGUUUUGAUGUCUUAAUUAUUCUAAACUGAAGAAACGUAGUACAAAUAUACCUUUCACUUGGUUUGUUGGUCCAGAUCUUUGAUUGGUCAUGUAUAUGGCCACAUUGACAAUAGUAACCUGUUAAUUUUCUGUGCUCUUCAUUGUACAGAUAAGGGUAACUUCAGUGUAAUUUAUAAUCUUCGUGGUAUAUUUUAGGAUGUACUGUAUUUGUACUUAUGAAUACUUGCUGGGAAGGGUCACUUGUGUAGUUUGGUUAAUCAGUAACACCGAAUGAAGAUUGAUUAGAUGCUGAAAAAUGAGUGUCAAAAAUAUGCAGAUUUACUUGGCAACUGAUGAUGAAUUUCAGAUUCAGCAUUGCGGCCAUUCAGGAAUCACUCAGAGUGUGCAUUAAUGAAAGGCCCUUAGAAUAAAGUACAUUUUUAUUAAGAAAACGACUGGGUUCUCGUGAAGGGGGACCAUAUAUGGUUGGACCUCAAGACAGAACGGGAGUUUGACGUUCCCCUCGGUGCUGUGGUCAAGCUGUGUAAUUCUGGCCAGAUCCAUGUUCUGGAUGACGAAGGAAACGAGCACUGGCUCUCAUCUCUGAAUGCCACCAACAUCAAGCCUAUGCACCCCACCUCAGUGCACGGGGUGGCCGACAUGAUCUGCCUGGGGGACCUGAAUGAGGCUGGCAUCCUCCGGAACCUUCUCAUCCGCUACCGUGAGCACCUCAUCUACACCUACACAGGGUCGAUCUUGGUGGCAGUGAACCCCUACCAGCUGCUGCCCAUCUACACGGCAGAUCACAUCCGCCUCUAUACCAGAAAGAAGGUGGGCGAGAUGCCACCCCAUAUUUUUGCCAUCGCCGACAACUGCUACUUCAGCAUGCGACGCAGUGCCAAGGACCAGUGCUGUGUCAUCAGUGGGGAAUCUGGAGCUGGAAAGACUGAGAGCACCAAGCUUAUCCUACAGUUCCUGGCGUCCAUCAGCGGGCAGCACUCAUGGAUUGAGAAGCAAGUUCUGGAGGCCACGCCCAUCCUUGAAGCUUUUGGCAACGCCAAGACUAUUCGCAAUGACAACUCAAGCCGCUUCGGAAAAUACAUUGACAUUCACUUCAAUAUCAGAGGGGCGAUUGAAGGGGCCAGGAUUGAGCAAUACUUGUUAGAGAAGUCCAGAGUCUGUAGACAGACUCAAGAUGAGAGAAACUAUCACAUCUUUUACUGCAUGCUGCAGGGCAUGUCCCCUGACAUGAAGAAGAAGCUGUAUCUUGGCAACGCUGUAGAUUAUGACUACCUCACCAUGGGAAAUUGUGUUGUGUGUGAUGGCCGUGAUGACCUUAAGGAGUACUCCAACAUCCUCUCUGCAAUGAAGGUUCUGAUGUUUACUGACACCGAGAGCUGGGAAAUCUCCAAACUACUUGCAGCCAUCUUGCACAUUGGUAACCUGCGCUUUGAAGCCAGAAUGCAUGACAACAUGGAUGCCUGUAUGGUGCUGUGCUCUGUGAACCUCACUACUGCUGCUGCCCUGCUGGAGGUGGACCCUGAGGAGGUGAUGAGCUGCUUGACCAGCAGGACCCUCGUCACUCGAGGAGAAACUGUAUCAACUCUCCUCAAUGUGGAGCAGGGGCUGGAUGUGCGCGAUGCUUUCAUAAAGGGAAUUUAUGGAAGAUUGUUUGUAUGGAUCGUGGACAAGAUUAAUGCUGCCAUCUAUAAACCACCCCCCAGUGACUGUAAAUACAUGCAAACAUCCAUCGGCCUGCUGGAUAUCUUUGGGUUUGAGAACUUUGUUAUUAACAGUUUUGAGCAACUGUGCAUCAACUUUGCCAACGAAAACUUGCAGCAGUUCUUCGUGCACCAUGUGUUCAAGCUUGAGCAGGAGGAGUACAACCUGGAGGGCAUCAGGUGGCAACACAUCGAGUUCACCGACAACCAGGAUGCCCUCGACAUGAUCGCCAUCAAGCCUAUGAACAUCAUUUCUCUCAUUGAUGAGGAAAGCAGGUUUCCAAAGGGCACGGAUGUUACCAUGCUGAAUAAGCUCAACUCCCAGCACAAGCUCAAUCCGAUCUAUAUCCCCCCCAAGCACAGCCGCGAGACGGUGUUUGGCAUUCAACACUUUGCUGGCACUGUUUACUAUGAGACUGCAGGCUUCCUGGAGAAAAACAGAGACGGUCUCCAUGGUGACAUAAUCCAGCUGAUCUACACUUCCAGCAAUAAAUUCAUCAAGCAGAUCUUCCAGACUGACCUUGCCAUGGGGGCAGAGACCAGGAAACGCUCCCCAACCCUGAGCGGUCAGUUCAAGCGCUCCCUGGACCUGCUCAUGAAGACCUUAGGCGCCUGCCAGCCAUUCUUUGUGCGCUGUAUCAAACCUAAUGAGUUCAAGAAGCCUAUGCUGUUUGAGCGGGUGCUCUGCAUUCGGCAGCUCUGCUAUUCUGGCAUGAUGGAGACCAUCCGAAUCCGCCACACCGGCUACCCUAUACGCUACACGUUUGCAGAGUUUGUGGACCGCUACAGAGUCCUUGUGCCUGAUGUCAAACCUGCCUUCAAACAGGGGAACAUGAAAGUAGCAUGUCAGUGCAUCCUGGAGACCAUCGUGGGGAGGGGUGAGGACUGGCAGAUGGGGAAGACCAAGAUUUUCCUUAAGGAUCACCAUGACGUGCGGCUGGAGAUGGAGCGCGACACGGCCAUUACAUGCAAGGUCAUCCUCAUCCAGAAGGCUGUGCGGGGCCUCAGAGACAGAUCCAGAUUUCUCCAGAUCAGGGAUUCUGUGAUACUGAUUCAGAAAAUCUGGAAAGGCCACCACUGCCGAAAGAAUUAUAGAACGAUGCAGAUGGGUUUUCUACGGCUCCAGGCCGUCUAUCGAUCUCGCAAGGUUUACCGAAGCUACAGCGCUGCACGGAGAAGCAUCAUGGUCCUGCAGGCAUGGUCUCGAGGCCUCCUAGUGAGACAGGCCUUCCGGCAUCGUCUGAGGGCUGUCAUCACCGUCCAGGCCCACGCCCGUGGCAUGCUCACUCGCAGGCUGUGCCAGCGGCUCAAAACUGAGGGUCGCCCACCUCCGGAGGAGAAAGAGCGCCUCUUGCUGGCCGAAGACGUAUGGUGGCCUAGAGAGGCAGUGGUUGUGCAGCAGGCCUGGGAAGAUGACGAACAGCUGACCGGCCCAUGUGCCAUGCAGGAAGAGGAGGCACGAGAAGAAGCUUGCCCCAAAAAGGGGGUGCUGUUGCAGGGGAAGUCGGUCCAGCAGGAUCCAGUCAGUGACUCGGAUGUGGUGGAUGAAGUGUUUGGAUUCCUGGGGUCUAAUGGUACCUUCCCUGGGCAGGAGGGGCAGGCCCCCACAGGGUUCGAGGACCUGGAGCGGGAUCCAGGGAAGGCCGAGCAGGUGGAGGAGGUGGACAUGGCCAGAGUUCUCCCUCUCCCUGUGGCUGAGGAGGAGGACCUGUCGGAGUAUAAGUUCGCCAAGUUCGCCGCCACAUACUUCCAGGGCAGUGCCACGCCGUGCCACACGCGGCGCCCCCUCAAACUGCCACUUCUCUUACAUGAAGACGAGGGAGACCAGAUGGCAGCCUUGGCCAUCUGGAUCACGAUACUGAGGUUCAUGGGUGAUCUUCCGGAGCCCAAGAUCCACACUGUCGUCAGUGAUGGCAGCGAAAAGAUUCCCGUCAUGACGAAAAUCUACGAGACCCUCGGGAAGAGGACGUAUAAGCAUGAGCUGAAGGCCCUGCAGGGAGCUGAGGAGAGCACUGAUGUUGUAAGCCACCGUCGAAACACUGCGCGACACAAGCUAGUCUCCCUCACUCUAAAGAGGAAGUCAAAGAUCACGGUGGAGGUGAUCAGGCUUCUGAACGACUUUGACUACAGCGCUCCAGAAAACAGCAUGCUGGAGGAGCGGCCUACCUCCAACCUGGAGAAGCUGCACUUUAUCAUUGGCAAUGGCAUUUUGCGGCCUGCCCUCAGAGAUGAGAUCUACUGUCAGAUCUGCAAGCAGUUGACCCAGAACCCUUCAAAGGCCAGCCACAUACGCGGAUGGCUGCUCAUCUCACUUUGCGUUGGUUGCUUUGCACCCUCUACAAAGUUUAUAAAAUAUCUGCAGAACUUCAUCAACACAGCUCUUCCUGGCUAUGCCCUUUACUUGGAAGACCGGCUAAGAAGAACUGCUAUGAAUGGGACUCGGGCCCAACCACCAUCUUGGCUUGAACUACAAGCCACUAAGUCAAAGAAGCCCAUCAUGCUCCCGGUGACCUUCAUGGACGGCACAACCAAGACCCUGCUGACAGACUCGGCCACCACAGCGAAAGAGCUGUGUGAUACACUGGCAGAAAGGGUCGGCCUGAGCGACACCUUUGGCUUCUCCCUCUACAUUGCCCUGUUUGACAAGGUGUCCUCCCUGGGCAGCGGGAACGACCACGUAAUGGAUGCUGUGUCCCAGUGCGAGCAGUAUGCCAAGGAGCAGGGUGCCCAGGAGCGCAAUGCCCCCUGGAGGCUGUUCUUCCGCAAGGAAAUCUUCACACCUUGGCACAACCCAGGUGAUGACAGUGUGGCCACCAACCUGAUCUACCAACAGAUCGUCCGUGGUGUCAAGUUUGGCGAGUACCGAUGUGACCUGGAGGAGGACCUGGCCCGGCUGGCUGCCCAGCAAUACUUUGCAGAAUAUGGGCGCAACCUGAUACCUGAACGUCUCCUCAGCCUAGUCUCAUCGUAUAUCCCUGACCGUGAGAUUAACUCCUCUAGGACCAUGGAGAAGUGGGCACAAAUGGUCACCACAGCAUUCAAGAAGGGAAUCUGCACUCGAAGCCUGACAGAGGCACAGAGGGUCAAGGAAGAAGUGGUGGACUUUGCACGUUUCAAAUGGCCUUUGCUAUUCUCACGGUUCUUUGAGGCCUUUAAGUUCUCAGGCCCCAGCCUGCCGAAGAAUGAUGUCAUCGUUGCUGUGAACUGGACCGGUGUUUACUUUGUGGACGAUCAAGAGGAGGUCCUCCUGGAGCUCUCCUUCCCAGAAAUCACUGUCGUUUCCAGCAGCAGGGGGGGCAAACUUCUGGGACAGAGCUUCACAUUGGCUACCAUCAAAGGGGAAGAGUAUACCUUCACAUCCAACAACGCUGAGGACAUCCGCGAUCUGGUGGUGAUCUUUCUCGAGGGACUAAGGAGAAGGUCGAAGUUCGUUGUGGCGCUGCAGGACAAUUCAAACUCAGCCACAGAGGACUCAACAUUCCUCGACUUCGCCAGAGGUGACCUCAUCCAACUGGACCAGGACACAGGGGAGCAGGUGAUGAACUCGGGCUGGGCUCAUGGCAUCAACGUUAGGACCAAGGAGAGCGGUGACUUCCCAGUGGACUGUGUCUAUGUGCUUCCUGCUAUCACCAGGCCUCAGUGUGACAUUGCGGCAGUAAUAACUGCAGCUCCGGACCAGCGGAGGGAAUCUUUGGGCCUGUUGGUUCUCCCGCCAGAGGACAGUGUGGAAAAGAGUGCCCCCUAUACACUGGAGGAGUUCUCCUACAACUAUUUCAGGCCCCCACUGAAGGGCACCCUGGCACAAGUGAUGGACUCCAACAGCUGGGGCCAGGAGAAGCUAUGGAGCUGUGCACGACAGCCCAUCAAGCAGCCUUUGCUGAAGAAGAUCCUGAGCCAUGAGGGUCUGUCCCAGGAGGCCUGCGCUGCUUUCACUGUCAUAAUGAAGUACAUGGGCGAUUACCCAUCCAAGAGCACGCGAUCCGUGAAUGAGCUCACCAGCCAGAUAUUUGAGUGUGCCUUAAAGUCAGAGCCCUUGAAGGAUGAGAUCUUCUGCCAGAUCCUUAAGCAACUCACUGAAAAUCAUGUAAAGUACAGCGAGGAGAAGGGCUGGGAGCUGCUGUGGCUCUGCACAGGCCUCUUUCCCCCCAGUAACCUGCUGUUAUCCCAUGUCCAGAAGUUCCUGCAAGCCAGGAAGCACCAUCCACUGGCAGCAGACUGCAUGCAGCGGCUUCUAAAGGCACUUAGGAAUGGUGCCAGAAAAUACCCCCCUCACCUGGUGGAGGUGGAAGCCAUCCAGCACAAGACCACCCAGAUCUUCCAUAAGGUCCACUUCCCCAAUGACACAGACCAGGUGUUUGAAGUGGAGUCAAGCACAAAAGCCAAAGACUUCUGCCUGAGCAUCUCCAGUCGCCUACAACUCAAGUCAGUUGAGGGCUUCAGUUUGUUUGUGAAAAUCUCAGACAGGGUGAUUAGCAUGCCAGAAGGGGACUUCUUCUUUGACUUUGUCAGGCAACUAACAGACUGGAUCCGCACAGCCCGGCCCGCCAAGGAUGGUGCACCACCUUCUUUGACCUACCAGGUGUUCUUCAUGAAGAAACUCUGGACCAAUACUGUUCCAGGGAAAGACUCUGUGGCUGAUUCUGUCUUCCAUUUUUACCAGGAGCUACCCAAAUAUCUCCGUGGCUACCACAGCUGUACACUUGAGGAGGUCCUCCAGCUGGGGGCGCUGAUCUACCGUGUCAAGUUUGAGGAGGACAAGAUCUUCUUCUCCAACAUCCCCAAGAUGCUGAAGGAACUGGUACCCCAGGAUGUCAUAGGGCAGCUCACACUCGAAGACUGGAGACGGGCUCUGGUGGCCUACAUCAAUAAGCAGGCCGGCAAGUCCAAAGAGGAGGCGAAGCUCACAUUUUUAAAGAUCAUCUAUAAGUGGCCAACGUUUGGAUCUGCAUUCUUUGAGGUCAAGCAAACCACCGAGCCAGGGUUCCCAGAGAUUCUGCUGAUAGCGAUCAACAAGCACGGCAUCAGCCUCAUCGACCCAAAGAGCAAGGACAUCCUGAUCACGCACCCUUUCACCAAGAUCUCCAACUGGAGCAGCGGGAACACCUACUUCCACAUCAACAUCGGAAACCUGUUACGGGGCAGUAAACUGCUCUGUGAGACGUCAUUGGGCUACAAAAUGGACGACCUCUUGACCUCCUACGUCAGCCAGAUGCUAACCACCAUGACUAAGCAGCGCAGUUCCCGUGGCAACAGCAGCUGAGCAGACAUUCAACCUCUGAAGAAGGCAACCACUGCAAAUAUCCGACAGCCAAGGCCACAAUGGUGAACUUUGCCCCCUGAGACCAGAUCAAUGCGUCCCGGCCAUCGACAACCUCAACUAUUGAGUGAGUCACCUAAUCUGUGUUUUCAGCUGUCGGUAAUGUAAUAAGCAAAAAAAUUUUCUCAGAACCAAACCUCAAAGACCAAGGCUGAGCCCUGGCACGAAAAUCCCCAUGGAUACACAAAGACAUGCACGGAUAUCUUCUCAAACAUUCUCACAAGCAACCAUAUAGGCCUACUCAUUCAUCCCACACCUACAAACACAUUCAGACAGACAUAGAAAGAUACUGUCUCACUCUUACACAUAUCCUUCCCUGGGGUGGUGUGUAGCUCAGUACAUUAGGUGCUUGUGAUAAUGGCCAGCUGUCAAAUGAUAUCACCACUAGGUCCUUAAUUGGCCUGGGAGGUGGAUGCUGGCUGACCCUUUCCCCAAGCCAUCAACGUUUCUACAUCACGUUCCAACAAAAGCAUCUGCUAAGUAAAUAAAAUUUUCCUAAAUAAAUAUUUACAGUAACACACACACACGCACACAUUAGGACAAAAGCUUCUAGAGAGAGUGUUCAGUUAGGAUUUAGAGUGGCAAACAACCCUGUGCCCACAGUCUCUGCACAGUGGCAUUGUCACAUUUCAGAAUUUUUUUGAAAAUAUUAUGCACAGUAAGUGAAGUCUAUGUUUUAUGUCAGUCUUUCCCAACCUGGUCCUCGGGGACCCCCAGACGGUCCAUGUGUUUGCUCCCUCCCAGCUCCUGGCAAGAACAUAGACUGUCUGAUGGUCCCUGAGCACUGGGUUGAUGACCACUGUGAUGAGAGAGGGAGCUGGGAGGGAGCAAAAACAUGGGCCGUCUAGGGGUCCCUGAGAAUCAGGAUGGGAAACACUUUUGUGUGAUGACCACUGUAAUGAUGUCAAAACACAGUGUACAUACAGAGGUGUCAGCGGGGUCUUGGUAAAUGUUUUAUAUUCAAAAGAUAAAUAGGAAAAUAUAUUUGCUUUAAUAUCUUAAUAUUGGUUUAAGUAGCUAUGUUAUUAACAAGGCUGGAUCUAGUAUUGAGAUGCUAUUGAAGGUCCUGAUUAUUUGUAUCAGGUGUGCUAAAUUAGAGCUGCACCUAAACUCUUCGGGGGAGAGAUCUCUAGGAGCUGGAAUGAGACCCCUUACUUUAGAAGAAUCUCCUCAGUGGUUUUUAUUAGUAACUGUAUGAGCAUUGUAGUACUUCUGGAUCAUCAUCUAUUGUACUUUUCUAAAUGAAUUUUGGGAGGUCCUACGUUAAGACUGAUUUUUUGGAUUAUUGAUUGGUUUGGUGUAAUAGUAGAUAGGGGUGUAGUUUGAGAUGAAUGGAUAGGGGGGCUGUGUGUUUACGAGUUGUUUGUUAAGCAAAGUGAUCCAAUGUGUUUUCUAUGGCAAUCAGGAUGUAAUAGUGUCUAUAAGAAACUGGAAAAUCUUGUGGUUAUGUCACAAAGGGCCUGCAAACUUGAUCCCCCCCCAAACCCAAGAUCAAGGUAUCUGUCGCAAGAUGAUUAUGAAAGGUUCUGGACAUUUUGGUGUCCGUGGAAACCAUGAAAGGCCAGCCAUUGUCCCAGAGGGUUAUAAAAAACAUUUCUAUUGCUCUAUUAUAUUGACUGACACCUGAACCUUGCCAUUCAUAUUAUUAAUCUUAGCCCUAUUUGCUUUAUUUAAGAGAGAAUAAAAAAUCAGGACUUCAACCCACUAUGACCAAGGUUGGGGGGCUAUACUGGGUCACAGAAGCCUGAUAUAAAAUGACUCCCCCAAUUAAAAUUGAAACUGGAGUUAUAUAUUGCAAAACUAUAAAAUAGCUAAAAAAAAACAACAAACUUUGU